UCUGAAAAUUCAAGCCUGGAUCAGGCUGGACAAUAUGGUACUGAGGUGGUAAAAGAUAGUGAUUCUGAGAGCGUACGCGCUACAAUGGAAUCAGUGCUCUCUUUAGAUGAUGGGAGAUGGUCAUGCACUGUUGAAGAGUCAUCCCCUGCAUUAAUUAAUGAAGCAAGGGAAGAUCCUUUCCAGUUCGUUGGUAUCAGGCAAACUUCACCACCUCCUGUUCUUGCUCAAGUGCAUGACUUUUCUCCUAUUCAUCCAUUGAAAGUCACAGAUCCAAGACCAGGACCAGCAAAAUCUUCCCAGGAUGGGAUUCCUAGCUCAAAUUCAUAUCAACAUUUACGUAUUACAC
rnacentral:misc_RNA from 1 species